rnacentral:lncRNA from 1 species
UGGGUGUAAGAAUUCUCCAAGGCUUAGCACUUGGGUUCUUGUGCCAUGUUCUUUUACACUGACAAGAUUUUUGUUAGUGUGAUCUAUCCAUUUCAUAAUUAAAAGGCACUUCUGCAAGUCUUUCACCCUUAAUUUUCCAUACAGAGUUCACAAGAUGGGUGUGAACAAACAAACUGGAGCAACCAGUGCCAAGGAAGGAUCACAUCCAUUAAAGCGAUGCCAGAAUCUAUGCUUAUUUAACCUUUUUGAAACUACUCUUGUCCAUAGCUGUUCGAUUUGCCCUGGUGCAGACACGGAUUGCUUUUCUCAUAUUGAGAGCCUUUAACAGAUGUAUGAAUCUUUGGGACUGCUUGCUUUCUCUUUCCAGAGAGAUGUGUUUUCUUACAUUUGCAAUAAUGUUAUGGCACAUCACUGUUUCUUUAAUUGGGCCUGGUACCUAAUGGUCACACCAGAAAGCUGAAGGGGAUGAAAAAUUUGGAUACAGAGCCUGUCUCUGCUUCCUUGCCAGUGUCUCUUCUCCCACUAGGUGGCUCUAACGCUGAAGUGUUAGUCUAAACCUCCAGCACCAUCUGCUAACCAGGAUUUAGGCACAGGCAUUUUGCCGAGGUCUUAGUCUAACAUCUCUUACAAGAGCGGGUUUGAAAAGCUAAUAAUUUUAUGUUUCUGCUAGGAUAUUCCUAUAUUCAAACUGGGGUGAGGGCGUGUUUAGUGAAGGAGCUGCGCUUGAGAGAAAUGUUUGGAACCGUGGCUUGAGCUUUGCUGCAGGAUCAAUAGAUGCUUGUAGUAAUUAAAUGCUCUCUGAGAUCUCUGUUGCGUGGGCACUCCCUAAAGCAGAAAGCAAAACCUACUUGUUUAGCUGCAAGAAACACCUCUUCAACUUUGCUUACACAGGGUUACUGGAUACACAGGUUUAACCCGAAGAGAGGAAAUUGGCAUGAUCUAGGGUAGUUUACAGAAUGGUAUCAAUUUGGCUUGUUUGAAAGUAUCAUUCAUAAGAAGUGUCAAAGCUGUUUCCCCAGAACAAGUAGCGAGGUCAUACCCUGACUAAGUUAGUUGUGCUGAGCUGCAGGUGGAGUCGUGGUGUGACUGGGGUUGUGGUGUACAGCCAUGCUCUGAUUAAACAGGUGAUCUUCCGUCUGAUUCUGGAUCAGCAGCCAAGUGGGACAACUCUUGAAUUAACAACAAAAAUAAAUAAAUAAAAAACCAACUUGCAAAUAUGUACAGUGGAUGGUAAAAUGAACAGGGGAAAAAGAAGAGCUUAAGCACAUGUAAUAUGGGUGGAAGAAUGUGGAGAGACUGAUAAAAAGACAACAGGAAACAGUAAUCAGAGCCACCAGCUUUCUUUUCAAUUAAAAGGGAGCAAUGAAGAGACAGUGGAGGAAAACAAGCUUUCUGCUUCCAAGCUGACUGCUGUUGCUGGCUGCUUCUAUUUCAGGUAUCAGAAGCAGUUGUGUGGGACUAGAGAGGAGCAAGAAGAAUAUUAAACUUACAUAAAUGUAUCCUUGGCUUUAUUAGUUACACUUGAAAUACUCUGGGGACUCUUGGCCUGUUGUAACCCGAACGCUGUAAUUCAAGGAGUGACUGAAAUGUUGAGCUUGACAAGUACCCUUUAUUUUUUUAAUUACCAAAAUGUAAGAAUGAAAUAAAC